rnacentral:rRNA from 1 species
AUUGGGCGCUGGCGGCAUGCCUUACACAUGCAAGUCGAACGGUAACAGGUCUUCGGAUGCUGACGAGUGGCGAACGGGUGAGUAAUACAUCGGAACGUGCCUAGUAGUGGGGGAUAACUACUCGAAAGAGUGGCUAAUACCGCAUGAGAUCUACGGAUGAAAGCAGGGGAUCACAAGACCUUGUGCUACUAGAGCGGCCGAUGGCAGAUUAGGUAGUUGGUGGGAUAAAAGCUUACCAAGCCGACGAUCUGUAGCUGGUCUGAGAGGACGAUCAGCCACACUGGGACUGAGACACGGCCCAGACUCCUACGGGAGGCAGCAGUGGGGAAUUUUGGACAAUGGGCGCAAGCCUGAUCCAGCAAUGCCGCGUGCAGGAUGAAGGCCUUCGGGUUGUAAACUGCUUUUGUACGGAACGAAAAGCCCUGGGUUAAUACCCUGGGGUCAUGACGGUACCGUAAGAAUAAGCACCGGCUAACUACGUGCCAGCCGCCGCCGUAACAC